rnacentral:snRNA from 1 species
GGAUGUGAGGGUGAUCUGGCUACGACAUCUGUCACCCCAUUGUCACCCAGGGUUGAUUCGGCUGAUCUGGCUGGCUAGGCGGGUGUCCCCUUCCUCCCUCACCGCUCCAUGUGCGUCCCUCCCAAAGCUGCGCACUCGGUCGAAGAGGACGGCCUUCCCCGAAUAGAAGUGUGGGGUUGCAGGCACUUUGGUGAGGUUGUCUGCCCAGGGAAGUCAGGUUGGCAUCAUGGUAGCAUCUGCAACUUUCUGGCAGAGUAAUGAGGCUGAAGGGUUGACAUUCCACACCUGGCGUCUCUGGACACCAUCCCAAGUGAAACGUGUCGAGGUGGUACUGGUUGCAUU